rnacentral:rRNA from 1 species
GAUGAACGCUAGCGGGAGGCCUAAUACAUGCAAGUCGAACGGUAACAGGUAGCAAUACGCUGACGAGUGGCGCACGGGUGAGUAACACGUACACAAUCUGCCUAUAACUGGGGCAUAACUUCGGGAAACUGAAGCUAAUUCCCCAUAACACUGUAGCAAGGCAUCUUGCAGCAGUUAAAGCUCAGGCGGUUAUAGAUGAG